rnacentral:rRNA from 1 species
GACGAACGCUGGCGGCGUGCUUAACACAUGCAAGUCGAGCGGUAAGGCCCUUUCGGGGGUACGACGAGCGGCGAACGGGUGAGUAACACGUGGGUGACCUGCCCUCAGCUCUGGGAGUAAGCCUGGGAAACGUAGGGUCUAAUACCGGAUAUGACUCCAUGACGCAUGUUGGUGGGGUGGAAAGCCUUGUGCGGCUGAGGAUGGGCCCGCGGCCUAUCAGCUUGUUGGUGGGGUGANGGCCUACCAAGGCGACGACGGGUAGCCGGCCUGAGAGGGCGACCGGCCACACUGGGACUGAGACACGGCCCAGACUCCUACGGGAGGCAGCAGUGGGGAAUCUUGCGCAAUGGGCGAAAGCCUGACGCAGCGACGCCGCGUGAGGGUGAC